UCUUGGUCAUUUAGAGGAAGUAAAAGUCGUAACAAGGUUUCCGUAGGUGAACCUGCGGAAGGAUCAUUACCUAGAGUUGUAGGCUUUGCCUGCUAUCUCUUACCCAUGUCUUUUGAGUACCUUCGUUUCCUCGGCGGGUCCGCCCGCCGAUUGGACAAUUUAAACCAUUUGCAGUUGCAAUCAGCGUCUGAAAAAACUUAAUAGUUACAACUUUCAACAACGGAUCUCUUGGUUCUGGCAUCGAUGAAGAACGCAGCGAAAUGCGAUAAGUAGUGUGAAUUGCAGAAUUCAGUGAAUCAUCGAAUCUUUGAACGCACAUUGCGCCCCUUGGUAUUCCAUGGGGCAUGCCUGUUCGAGCGUCAUUUGUACCUUCAAGCUCUGCUUGGUGUUGGGUGUUUGUCUCGCCUCUGCGCGCAGACUCGCCUCAAAACAAUUGGCAGCCGGCGUAUUGAUUUCGGAGCGCAGUACAUCUCGCGCUUUGCACUCAUAACGACGACGUCCAAAAGUACAUUUUUACACUCUUGACCUCGGAUCAGGUAGGGAUACCCGCUGAACUUAAGCAUAUCAAUAAGCGGAGGA
rnacentral:rRNA from 1 species